rnacentral:rRNA from 1 species
UACGUAGGGGGCAAGCGUUUGUCCGGAUUUAUUGGGCGUAAAGAGCGUGUAGGCGGUUUUACAGGUCCGCUGUGAAAACUCGAGGCUCAACCUCGAGCUGUCGGUGGAAACCGUAAGGCUAGAGUCCGGAAGAGGAGAGUGGAAUUCCUGGUGUAGCGGUGGAAUGCGCAGAUAUCAGGAGGAACACCCGGUGGGCGAAGGCGGGUCUCUGGGCCGAUGACUGAC